rnacentral:rRNA from 1 species
UACGAAGGGGGCUAGCGUUGCUCGGAAUCACUGGGCGUAAAGGGUGCGUAGGCGGGUUUUUAAGUCAGGGGUGAAAUCCUGGAGCUCAACUCCAGAACUGCCUUUGAUACUGAGGAUCUUGAGUUCGGGAGAGGUGAGUGGAACUGCGAGUGUAGAGGUGAAAUUCGUAGAUAUUCGCAAGAACACCAGUGGCGAAGGCGGCUCACUGGCCCGAUACUGACGCUGAGGCGCGAAAGCGUGGGGAGCAAACAGG